rnacentral:rRNA from 1 species
UACGUAGGGGGCCAGCGUUGUCCGGAAUCAUUGGGCGUAAAGCGCGCGUAGGCGGCCAGAUAAGUCCGGUGUGAAAGUCACAGGCUCAACCUGUGAAUGCCGCUGGAAACUAUCUGGCUAGAGUCCGGAAGGGGCGAGUGGAAUUCCUGGUGUAGCGGUGAAAUGCGCAGAUAUCGGGAGGAACACCGGUGGCGAAGGCGGUUCUCUGGGCCUUACCUGACGCUGAGGAGCGAAAGCGUGGGGAGCGAACAGG